rnacentral:tRNA from 1 species
GCUUUUGUAGCUUAAAUGGUAGAGCGUACGCUUGAAGCGCGUUGUGUAUAAGUUCAAUUCUUUUCAAAGGCA